GUUGGGUUAAGUCCGUAACGAGCGCAACCCUUGUCCUUAGUUACCAGCACGUUAUGUGGGCACUCUAAGGAGACUGCCGGUGACAAACCGGAGGAAGGUGGGGAUGACGUCAAGUCAUCAUGGCCCUUACGGCCUGGGCUACACACGUGCUACAAUGGUCGGUACAAAGGGUUGCCAAGCCGCGAGGUGGAGCUAAUCCCAUAAAACCGAUCGUAGUCCGGAUCGCAGUCUGCAACUCGACUGCGUGAAGUCGGAAUCGCUAGUAAUCGUGAAUCAGAAUGCCACGGUGAAUACGUUCCCGGGCCUU
rnacentral:rRNA from 1 species